rnacentral:rRNA from 1 species
GACGAACGCUGGCGGCGUGCUUAACACAUGCAAGUCGAACGGAAAGGCCCUGCUUUUGUGGGGUGCUCGAGUGGCGAACGGGUGAGUAACACGUGAGUAACCUGCCCUUGACUUUGGGAUAACUUCAGGAAACUGGGGCUAAUACCGGAUAGGAGCUCCUGCUGCAUGGUGGGGGUUGGAAAGUUUCGGCGGUUGGGGAUGGACUCGCGGCUUAUCAGCUUGUUGGUGGGGUAGUGGCUUACCAAGGCUUUGACGGGUAGCCGGCCUGAGAGGGUGACCGGCCACAUGGGGACUGAGAUACGGCCCAGACUCCUACGGGAGGCAGCAGGGGGGAAUAUUGCACAAUGGGCGGAAGCCUGAUGCAGAAACGCCGCGUGCGGGAUGACGGCCUUCGGGGUGUAAACCGCUUUCGCCUGUGACGAAGCGUGAGUGACGGUAAUGGGUAAAGAAGCACCGGCUAACUACGUG